AGUGGUCACCGUCUAGUGCUGAGGUGUCACCGUCUAGUGCUGAGGUGUCAACGUCUAGUACUUAGGUCACAGGCGCAAAGUUGAUGCUUUUGUUGUCUCUAAAAAAUCUAUGUUGAUGAAUUUAUAUGAAUAUAUAUUUAUUUCAACCGUAUUGUAAAAGUUUCCUUCUAUACAUUGUUUGGUGAAAUUAAUACCUUAUCAAUUUUUUGUGAUCUACGCUGUUUACUGUCCGAACCAACGUAACAUGGAGAGCGCGAUGACUUUGCAGUGGGUGAUCUUCCUGUGCGAUCUUACCUUAUUGGUUCGUAUAAGAGAUCCUUAUAACAGAUCUUUUGUGUUAUGUUAAAUGUGUCUGUCAUUUCAGAGCUGGACUGAUCAGCCCAUGUGUUCUUCAAACGAUUCUUCCCAUUUAUCCCGAGAUUCAACAGACCUACUCUAGUUAUUUGGGAAAGCAUACGAUUCUUCUGCUGAGAAAACCUCUUUCAAUUAAAUCUAAUAAUGAUAUCCAUCACAAUAGGCAAGAAUUUUCAUGAUUGUCAGCGCAAGGCUUCUAUAGUUUUAAGUAUGGCAAUUCCUUCUAGCCAGGUAAAGGUGCUAAUAACAUGAACAGAUCUUUUGUACAUCAUUUGUCUACUAGUUCAAAUGUUUUCUCAAGGAACCAUUCACAAAUGUUCGCUCACAUAUUAAGAAAUGUCGCGUUGCCAUUACUCCAUAACGUUGUUUAAAUUAGCACCAGACUUGCCGCUUUUAAAUUUGCAGUUAUCUUGAAUUAACAAGUUGGUUUAUAGCCAACGGUUUUUAAGGGUACCGCAGGACAUGAAAAAAUCAGUGCAAGUGGGAAGUAAAAUUAGUACGUCCACCAAUCAUUUCAUAACUGGAAUACUUCUUUUAAUUUCGAUUGCAGUAAAUGGAAGGAUACAAUUACUCAUUCCCAUGAACUUCACUAGCCUCACACUUCAUUUCAUGACCGCUGCUCUAAGGAAUUCCCUUUAACCACAUACAUUAUUUGGCGGCUAAGUAAUUAAUGGACGGCUCAAUAUUAGAUGCACUUCACGUCACAAACAUGGCUGCAUCAUCGCGUGCAUACCUUGACUUUAGGCCGCUACAGCUUCUUAUAAUUCACACGUGGAAAACACCAAAGCUUUCUUACUUUUUCUAGAACCGUUUCUGUUGUCGACAUAAGAUAAUUUUUAAUAUCGUUCAAUUUGUUCUCAACACUUUGUCGUUAAGUUUAGAAUGUUGAUGCCUUAAACUAAGGGAAAGAUAUAUUAUUUAAUAUUGCUUCAAUACUAGGUGAGAAUUAAUUUUUUAUUCAGUUUGUAAGUAUGACUAGAUGAUUCGCAUAUCUUGUACGCUAUUAUUUAUCACUCCAAAGAAUCAAUAUAAUUCAUCAGAAGAGAUGGUUGGAUAUUAGCGUGGCGUUGAUGUCACGCAUACAUCGACUGUACUGGAGCAUGCGAUGUACAGUCGAGCGCUGCAACACCCAUGGUUGAAUUAAUAUUAAUUCAACCAUGGCUACACCUGCUCGCUGGGACGCAGUUCUCCAUAUUGUGAGUCGACGUUAUUUUACGUCACGUGUAUGAAGACGUGUAUUGCCCGAGCGGCGCGAAAUAAACUUGUUAUACAUGAUAUCAAA